rnacentral:rRNA from 1 species
GGCUCAGGAUGAACGCUGGCGGCGUGCCUAACACAUGCAAGUCGAGCGAUUACUUCGGUAAAGAGCGGCGGACGGGUGAGUAACGCGUGGGUAACCUGCCUCAUACACAUGGAUAACAUACCGAAAGGUAUGCUAAUACAGGAUAAUAUAAGAGAUUCACAUGGAUUUCUUAUCAAAGCUCCGGCGGUAUGAGAUGGACCCGCGUCUGAUUAGCUAGUUGGUAAGGUAAUGGCUUACCAAGGCGACGAUCAGUAGCCGACCUGAGAGGGUGAUCGGCCACAUUGGAACUGAGACACGGUCCAAACUCCUACGGGAGGCAGCAGUGGGGAAUAUUGCACAAUGGGCGAAAGCCUGAUGCAGCAACGCCGCGUGAGUGAUGAAGGCCUUCGGGUCGUAAAACUCUGUCCUCAAGGAAGAUAAUGACGGUACUUGAGGAGGAAGCCCCGGCUAACUACGUGCCAGCAGCCGC